CGACGAGUGGCGAACGGGUGAGUAAUACAUCGGAACGUGUCCGCUCGUGGGGGACAACCAGCCGAAAGGUUGGCUAAUACCGCAUGAGUUCUACGGAAGAAAGAGGGGGACCCGCAAGGGCCUCUCGCGAGCGGAGCGGCCGAUGACUGAUUAGCCGGUUGGUGAGGUAACGGCUCACCAAAGCAACGAUCAGUAGCUGGUCUGAGAGGACGACCAGCCACACUGGGACUGAGACACGGCCCAGACUCCUACGGGAGGCAGCAGUGGGGAAUUUUGGACAAUGGGCGCAAGCCUGAUCCAGCUAUUCCGCGUGUGGGAUGAAGGCCCUCGGGUUGUAAACCACUUUUGUAGAGAACGAAAAGACACCUUCGAAUAAAGGGUGUUGCUGACGGUACUCUAAGAAUAAGCACCGGCUAACUACGUGCCAGCAGCCGCGGUAAUACGUAGGGUGCGAGCGUUAAUCGGAAUUACUGGGCGUAAAGGGUGCGCAGGCGGUUGAGUAAGACAGAUGUGAAAUCCCCGAGCUUAACUCGGGAAUGGCAUAUGUGACUGCUCGACUAGAGUGUGUCAGAGGGAGGUGGAAUUCCACGUGUAGCAGUGAAAUGCGUAGAUAUGUGGAAGAACACCGAUGGCGAAGGCAGCCUCCUGGGACAUAACUGACGCUCAGGCACGAAAGCGUGGGGAGCAAACAGGAUUAGAUACCCUGGUAGUCCACGCCCUAAACGAUGUUAACUAGUUGUUGGGAAGUAAUAUUCUCAGUAACGCAGCCAACGCGAGAAGUUAACCGCCUGGGAAGUACGGUCGCAAGACUAAAACUCAAAGGAAUUGACGGGGACCCGCACAAGCGGUGGAUGAUGUGGAUUAAUUCGAUGCAACGCGAAAAACCUUACCUACCCUUGACAUGUCAGGAAGCUCUUGUAAUGAGAGUGUGCCCGCAAGGGAGCCUGAACACAGGUGCUGCAUGGCUGUCGUCAGCUCGUGUCGUG
rnacentral:rRNA from 1 species